CCACUAGCCGCUCGUUUCAUUCACUUCGUCUUUACGGCUUUACCGAGCUCCCUUCUUCGGGGUUUAUCCUUUUCAGAUCUGAACUCUCAUCUUCAUCGCUGUUCUUCUUUUUUCACGGAUUUAUCACAGACUAAUCUCUUUUGCAGAUCCUUUCCUGUUUUUUUCUCCUUGUUUUGUGAAUUUAUUUUGAAAUGGAUGUAUUUGAGGCUUCAUAAUCUGGUCAGUGCGGAUUUGAUCUGUUCCCAUUUGACUCGUUCCCUUGAAGCAAUAUCGAUCGUGAUACUUUUUCUCAAUCUCUUCCUUUGCUUUCUCUUAUAGCGCUUGGGAGAACACUGGAGUAGCUACAUGUUCUAUAUCUUUCUGCUUUCUCUUCAUUUUGUUCUGGAAUUUCUGAUUGAAACGAUUUUUUUCUUCGUAACGGUGAUGAGCCUUUUGCAGACCUGUAAUGAUUUGCGAAUAUGAUCGCAAUAUCAUACGAACAUCUAAGGGACUGAGUUGCUUAGAUUUCUUUGACUUUUUUUAUUUCUCGGUUUGAUUUUGAUUUCGAUUCCUUUAAUUCCUAAAUCAGAGUAAAAACCCUAAUGGAAAAGCGUAAUGAGCGCUGAACACUCGAGAACGGUUAGUUACCGAUUGAUUACAUUUUCAAGAUGUAUUCCUAUUUGGUUGCGAUUAUCAAAACGGAGGCGGAGAGCAAUAUUAGUGGAAAACCCGAACUUUUCGGGGCUUCUAAUUUAACGCCAAAAUAUACUUAAAUAAAUUGAAAAAAACACAUUUUUUGCGCCUUUAUCAAAGGUAAACUAUAUCAUUUUGCAUUUAUAUUAAUCAGAUUUGAUUGAAAAGGCUUGAUAAGGGGAAUGAUCAUGGUGUAUAGAACGAUUUAAGUCGUAUUAGAGCUAAGAUGAUUAAAUCUCUCCUUAAUUUGACAUGGGAACAUUUUAUAAUCUCCUAUUCUUAAAAGAUUUAAGAUUUUCAAAUUUUAAUUUGGAACAAGAUUGAAACAAAUAGAACAAAUUUAUAACGAAGAAGAACUGCGAAACUUUACAGUAGAUUGAACGCUGCGGCUCAAACUUUGAGUGACAUCUUUGGUCAUCUUCUACUCUUCAAUUGCCUAAUUGGAGGAUGGGGCUUUGGUUCCCAAUGACCAGGUUGGCCAGCCCGAUGAUCUCUCAUGCCAUAACCUCACAUAUGCCAUAGCCUAUAUAGCCUGUUUGCUCUUCUGGGUUCUCGCCAAGCCCCCAAUUUCUCAUCGGUGAUGUACCCUUCGUCUGCCUCUUCAAUUUCGAAUUGGUCACUGAAAUCUCUAUCGUUCUUUCCAGUUCGAAAUGGGGAUGUAGUUCUGAGCUUUAAUCUCCCUUCCCAUCGUGUAGUGAAGAUCCUCGAAAAGCACGACAAGGAUUCGUCUUGAGCUUCUUCUUCUGGAUUUCUCAGAGGCAUUUUGUCAAACAUGAUAUGUGCAGACCAUGUGUAUGAUUGACGUUGGCGUAUUGCUGAAGUGAAGGGAUUGCAAAAGGAAAGGCAAUUGCAUAGAGAGCACCACGUAAACAAUGUAUAAUCUCCCUCUCAUAUGUGCACUUUGCAAAGCAAAACUCAGACAGCAAGCUCAAUGUCUGUUUAAAACAAUGCUGGAAAAGCAUUGGAAUAAUGACGAGGUUGUCUGGACAGUGGUUCACUUACUUAUUUGAACAACCAGUGUUCUCAAGCUUCCAAUAUAAUAAUGGACCUUGGUUUUAUGGGAUCCAAUAUGUCAAUCAAUUUACCUGAUGCCAUAUCCCAUCCUGAAAUGCUCUCAAAUGUAUAUGUUCAUAUGAUCAUACUCUGCAAUGUUCUCAGAUGUGCACACUGUCGAUAACCAUAUAUAUUUUGAAGCUUUUUUGCAGAAUAUGUUGAUACCCAUCAUUCAGUGGACUCAUGUGGCAAUUUGAAGCUUCUGGGAUGAAGUCAUCAUUCCCUUGGCCUAUGCUUUCCAGCAGAUGUUGAUUUGGGACAGUAAGGACAUGUUUAGCUGAUGGGUAAUCUUCCUCCUUCCUCAAUAAUUGUAUCAUUGUUAACUGUAUUAUAGUCCUCUUUCUCUUUCAUGUAUUAUAUUGAGGGGCCCUGAUUAAAGUCAUCUUUAAUGCAAAAUAUUCCUCCUGAACCUUGUCUUUUCCCUUGAUUCUCGCUUCCCCUGUCCCUCUCUACACAACCCCAUUCAAAAGCCAUGAAAAAAAUAUAUCUUUGGGGAAGGAAUUUAAAAUGUUGGAGGGUAAUUUAGAGUUACGGUGUCUAUGUGAUAUAUUUGAAGGUUUAUUUAGUGCCUUCUCUUUGUGAGUGAGUGAGGGAAGAAUAAGUUUAAUGUAUCAAUAAGUGGAAGAAAAUAAACUUAGGAUUCCCCUAGUAUGUUAUUUUUUGCUUUUCUUUUUGUCAAGAACCAAGUUUUUUUACCGCUAUAUAUAGUUUAGAAUGGAUGCUUAGAAUCAUUUAAUCUAGACAUAAUCGAUCUUGCUUGUGGAAUGACUCAAAGCUCAAUCUAUUGUUCUUGUCAUGAGAUAUUUGAUCAACGAGAUAAUUUAAAUUUUAUUUCUUUUGUAGCAAUUCCUUGUCACAAAUGCUCCAUCUUCUUUUCGGCCAUGACUGUUCUAAAUGACACAAACCAUUACCUAACCUAUUAUUCCUCAAGCUUCCUUCCAAACGCUACCAUCCAUUUUUGGUUUGGACUUGUUACAUACAUUUUCUUUCAAUCAAAACUCCUUUUCCCUAAAAUAUUCACCAACCCAACUCUCAUUAGAGCAGCCUUAGACUUUUGCCGUUUGGAUUUGCUUUCAAGGCAGCUGAUUCUCCUCUGUAUGAUAAGACCAAAACAUUCUAAUCCUAUUAUAAGUACACAUUCUCCAGCAGUUGCAGCAGCUUAAACUCGACCGUCUUCAUCAACCCUUUUGAGCGUUAUGCAGAUGGGUAGGCAUAGUGGUGAACCCACCAUGGUUGGUACCUCCAUAGCUUUGUUACAAGAAAGGUUCAGGCAGUUGCAGAAAGAGAAGGUAAGGAGGGAGAAGGAGGUUGUUAAGCUGUUAUCCGGUUCAAAUAUCUUGUCAACCUCAAGAGACUUGGCCUUCAAUUCCCUCUCACUUGGCCUGAAUUUGGCUAAUGCGGGUAAGCAAGUUGAUAGCCAUGAAGGCAGGUUGAUGCCUGGUGACACCCAGUUGAUACCCAUUACGUUCAGAAGUUUUGAUACUCCAGAUGUUGAUGUUGAUACCACCCUUCAUCUAUAGUUUAUUUGCUUGCUUUUCUCCCUACUUGAGAAUGAAUAGUGUGUAUGAACUGAUA